UACGAAGGGGGCUAGCGUUGCUCGGACUGACUGGGCGUAAAGGGCGCGUAGGCGGUUUGCAUAGUCAGACGUGAAAUUCCUGGGCUUAACCUGGGGGCUGCGUUUGAUACAUGCAGGCUUGAGUUCGGAAGAGGGUCGUGGAAUUCCCAGUGUAGAGGUGAAAUUCGUAGAUAUUGGGGAGAACACCGGUGGCGAAGGCGGCGACCUGGUCCGAUACUGACGCUGAGGCGCGAAAGCGUGGGGAGCAAACAGG
rnacentral:rRNA from 1 species